rnacentral:sRNA from 1 species
AAGGGCGCAUGGCGGAUGCCUUGGCUCAUCCAGGCGAGGAAGGACGUGAUAAGCUGCGAAAAGCUGCGGUGAGGUGCAAAUGACCCCUGACCCGCGGAUAUCCGAAUGGGACAACCCGUCAGUCUGAAGGACUGUCA